rnacentral:rRNA from 1 species
AUUGAACGCUGGCGGCAGGCCUAACACAUGCAAGUCGAACGAGUGGCGGACGGGUGAGUAAUGUCUGGGAAACUGCCUGAUGGAGGGGGAUAACUACUGGAAACGGUAGCUAAUACCGCAUACCAUCGGAUGUGCCCAGAUGGGAUUAGCUAGUAGGUAGGGUAAUGGCCUACAUGGGCGACGAUACAUAGCCGACCUGAGAGGGUGAUCGGCCACACGGGGACUGUGACACGGCCCAGACUCCUACGGGAGGCAGCAGUAGGGAAUCUUCGGCAAUGGGGGGAACCCUGACCGAGCAACGCCGCGUGUAUGAAGAAGGCCUUCGGGUUGUAAAGUACUUGCAGCGGGGAGGCGUUACCCGCAGAAGAAGCACCGGCUAACUCCGUGCCAGCAGCCGCGGUAAUAC